rnacentral:tRNA from 1 species
CAGUCGGUAGAGCGACGGACUGUUAAUCCGCAGGUCGCUGGUUCAAGUCCAGCAGGAGGAGCCA